UACGUAGGGAGCAAGCGUUGUCCGGAAUCAUUGGGCGUAAAGCGCGUGUAGGCGGCAGCGCAAGUCGGGCGUGAAAUCCCACGGCUCAACCGUGGAAGUGCACUCGAAACUGCGCAGCUAGAGUCCUGGAGAGGAAGGUGGAAUGCUUGGUGUAGAGGUGAAAUUCGUAGAUAUCAAGCGGAACACCGGUGGCGAAGGCGGCACGCUGGACCCCUUCUGACGCUGAGGCGCGAAAGCCAGGGGAGCGAACGGG
rnacentral:rRNA from 1 species